rnacentral:rRNA from 1 species
GAUGAACGCUAGCUACAGGCUUAACACAUGCAAGUCGAGGGACCGGCGCACGGGUGAGUAACACGUAUCCCACAUGCACUUUACACGGGGAUAGACUUCCGAAAGAAAGAUUAAUACCCGAUGUACAGGAUGGGGAUGCGUUCCAUUAGGUUGUUGGUGAGGUAACGGCUCCCCAAGCCUUCGAUGGAUAGGGGUUCUGAGAGGAAGGUCCCCCACAUUGGAACUGCGACCCGGUCCAAACUCCUACGGGAGGCAGCAGUGAGGAAUAUUGGUCAAUGGGCGUUAGCCUGAACCAGCCAAGUAGCGUGAAGGAUGACGGCUUAUGGGUCGUAAACUUCUUUUAUAUAAGAAUAUGUAUUGUAUGAAUAAGGAUCGGCUAACUCCGUGCCAGCAGCCGCGGUAAUUC